CAGGCCUAACACAUGCAAGUCGAACGGCAGCACGGGACCAAUCCUGGUGGCGAGUGGCGAACGGGUGAGUAAUAUAUCGGAACGUGCCCAGUAGUGGGGGAUAGCCCGGCGAAAGCCGGAUUAAUACCGCAUACGACCCAUGGGUGAAAGCGGGGGAUCGCAAGACCUCGCGCUAUUGGAGCGGCCGAUAUCAGAUUAGCUUGUUGGUGGGGUAAAAGCCUACCAAGGCGACGAUCUGUAGCUGGUCUGAGAGGACGACCAGCCACACUGGGACUGAGACACGGCCCAGACUCCUACGGGAGGCAGCAGUGGGGAAUUUUGGACAAUGGGCGCAAGCCUGAUCCAGCCAUGCCGCGUGCGGGAAGAAGGCCUUCGGGUUGUAAACCGCUUUUGUCAGGGAAGAAACGCGCCGAGCCAAUACCUUGGCGUAAUGACGGUACCUGAAGAAUAAGCACCGGCUAACUACGUGCCAGCAGCCGCGGUAAU
rnacentral:rRNA from 1 species